UACGAAGGGGGCUAGCGUUGCUCGGAAUCACUGGGCGUAAAGGGUGCGUAGGCGGGUCUUUAAGUCCGGGGUGAAAUCCUGGAGCUCAACUCCAGAACUGCCUUUGAUACUGAGGAUCUUGAGUUCGUGAGAGGUGAGUGGAACUGCGAGUGUAGAGGUGAAAUUCGUAGAUAUUCGCAAGAACACCAGUGGCGAAGGCGGCUCACUGGCCCGAUACUGACGCUGAGGCACGAAAGCGUGGGGAGCAAACAGG
rnacentral:rRNA from 1 species